rnacentral:rRNA from 1 species
GACGAACGCUGGCGGCGCGCCUAACACAUGCAAGUCGAACGAGCGAGAGAGAGCUUGCUUUCUCGAGCGAGUGGCGAACGGGUGAGUAACGCGUGAGGAACCUGCCUCAAAGAGGGGGACAACAGUUAGAAAUGACUGCUAAUACCGCAUAAGCGCACAGUAUCGCAUGAUACAGUGUGAAAAACUCCGGUGGUACAAGAUGGACCCGCGUCUGAUUAGCUAGUCGGUAAGGUAACGGCUUACCAAGGCAAUGAUGCAUAGCCGAGUUGAGAGACUGAUCGGCCACAUUGGGACUGAGACACGGCCCAA